CGGCGCACGGGUGCGUAACGCGUAUAGAAUCUGCCUUGUACAGGGGGAUAGCCCAGAGAAAUUUGGAUUAAUACCCUAUAGUAUUGUGAAAUGGCAUCGUUCCACAAUUAAAGAUUUUAUUGGUACAAGAUGACUAUGCGUCCUAUUAGCUAGUUGGUAUGGUAACGGCAUACCAAGGCUACGAUAGGUAGGGGGUCUGAGAGGAUUAUCCCCCACACUGGUACUGAGACACGGACCAGACUCCUACGGGAGGCAGCAGUGAGGAAUAUUGGACAAUGGGCGAGAGCCUGAUCCAGCCAUGCCGCGUGCAGGAGGACUGCCCUAUGGGUUGUAAACUGCUUUUAUACAGGAAGAAACCUAGUUAUGUAUAACUAGUUGACGGUACUGUAAGAAUAAGCACCGGCUAACUCCGUGCCAGCAGCCGCGGUAAUACGGAGGGUGCAAGCGUUAUCCGGAAUCAUUGGGUUUAAGGGUCCGUAGGCGGUUUAUUAAGUCAGUGGUGAAAGUUUGUGGCUCAACCAUAAAAUUGCCAUUGAUGCUGAUAAACUUGAAUGAGUGUGAAGUAACUAGAAUAUGUAGUGUAGCGGUGAAAUGCAUAGAUAUUACAUAGAAUACCGAUUGCGAAGGCAGGUUACUAACACUUGAUUGACGCUGAUGGACGAAAGCGUGGGGAGCGAACAGGAUUAGAUACCCUGGUAGUCCACGCCGUAAACGAUGGAUACUAGCUGUUUGGAAUUAUAUAUGAGUGGCUAAGCGAAAGUGAUAAGUAUCCCACCUGGGGAGUACGUUGGCAACAAUGAAACUCAAAGGAAUUGACGGGGGCCCGCACAAGCGGUGGAUUAUGUGGUUUAAUUCGAUGAUACGCGAGGAACCUUACCAAGACUUAAAUGUAUGCUGACAGGUUUAGAGAUAGACUUUUCUUCGGACAGUAUACAAGGUGCUGCAUGGUUGUCGUCAGCUCGUGCCGUGAGGUGUUAGGUUAAGUCCUGCAACGAGCGCAACCCCUAUCAUUAGUUGCUAACAUUGAGUUGAGGACUCUAAUGAGACUGCCUACGCAAGUAGAGAGGAAGGUGGGGAUGACGUCAAAUCAUCACGGCCCUUACGUCUUGGGCUACACACGUAAUACAAUGGUAGGUACAGACGGUUGCAGCUACAGCCGUGAUGUGGAUGCUAAUCUGCGAAAGCCUCUCUCAGUUCGGAUUGUAGUCUGCAACUCGACUACUAUGAAGCUGGGAAUCGCUAGUAAUCGCGCAUCAGCCAUGUCGCGGUGAAUACGUUCCCGGGUCUUGUACACACUGCCCGUCACAGCUAUGGGAGUGGGUUGCACCAGAAGUAGCUAGCUUAUCGGGGCGGUUACCACGGUGUGAUUCAUGACUGGAGUGAAGUCGUAACAAGGUAGCC
rnacentral:rRNA from 1 species